CCUACGGGUGGCAGCAGUGGGGAAUAUUGGACAAUGGGCGAAAGCCUGAUCCAGCCAUGCCGCGUGUGUGAAGAAGGCCUUCGGGUUGUAAAGCACUUUCAGUGGGGAAGAAAGCCUUGGGGCUAAUACCCUCGAGGAAGGACAUCACCCACAGAAGAAGCACCGGCUAACUCCGUGCCAGCAGCCGCGGUAAUACGGAGGGUGCGAGCGUUAAUCGGAAUUACUGGGCGUAAAGCGCGCGUAGGCGGUCUGAUAAGCCGGUUGUGAAAGCCCCGGGCUCAACCUGGGAACGGCAUCCGGGACUGUCAGGCUAGAGUGCAGGAGAGGAAGGUAGAAUUCCCGGUGUAGCGGUGAAAUGCGUAGAGAUCGGGAGGAAUACCAGUGGCGAAGGCGGCCUUCUGGACUGACACUGACGCUGAGGUGCGAAAGCGUGGGUAGCAAACAGGAUUAGAUACCCCAGUAGUC
rnacentral:rRNA from 1 species